rnacentral:tRNA from 1 species
CGGGGAGUAGCUCAGUUGGUAGAGUGCGCGCUUUGGGAGCGUGAGGUCCCGGGUUCGAGUCCCGGCUCCCCGACAA